AUGGCAUGUGUGUCCUCGGUCAAGUAUUCGGUGAAAUUUAAUGGCAAGUUAUUGGAGUCCUUCUCUCCCUCUAGGGGACUCCGCCAAGGUGACCCCUUGUCCCCUUUCCUCUUCUUAUUUGUUGCUGAUUCCCUGUCUUUGUUGAUGGAGAAGGCUGCAAGGGAGGAUGGGAUCAAAGGUGUUACGAUUUGUAGAGGUGCGCCGGAGAUCACACAUCUCUUAUUUGCGGAUGACUCACUCUUGUUCUUCCAUGCUACGCAACAACAGGCAUUGUUGGUGAAAGGAGUGUUGAACACGUUUGCGGCGGCGACUGGACAACUUAUCAACCCGUCGAAGUGUUCCAUUCUAUUCUCAGGCCAAUGCCCAUCUAAUGUGGUACAAGAGAUUAAGCUUACGUUGGAAAUUUCACAGGAGGCCUUUGAACCCAAGUACUUGAGCCUGCCUGUGCCCGAGGGGAGGAUGCAUAAGGGGAACUUUGAGUCCACCCAGGAACGUUUGAGGAAAAUUCUCAUUGACUGGAGCAAGCAAUACAUGUCCAAGGGGAACAAAGAGAUCCUUAUCAAAUCUGUUGCACAGGCCAUCCCUGCUUAUGUUAUGAGUGUAUUUAAACUCCCCGCCUCGGUUUGUGAUGAUGUCACACGUAUGAUACGCCAGUAUUGGUGGGGAGUUGAGAACGGGAAGAAGAAGAUGGCUUGGAUGAGUUGGGAAAAAUUGAGAUUACCUAAACCCACGGGAGGAUUGGGUUUUAGAGACAUGAGGGCGUUCAACCAGGCUUCGCUCGCUAAAAAAGCCUGGAGAUUACUAGACAGACCGGACAGUUUAUGUGCGCGUUUAAUCAAGGCGAGAUACUAUCCCUCAGGCCAGCUUUUGGACACUGUGUUCCCGGGCACUGGAUCAGAAGUUUGGAAAGGAAUCUUGCACGGUCUUGAGCUGAUU
rnacentral:rRNA from 1 species